rnacentral:rRNA from 1 species
GUAACAAGGUCUCCGUAGGUGAACCUGCGGAGGGAUCAUUACACAAUAACAAGGCGGGCUGGACACCCCCCGCUGGGCACUGCUUCACGGCGUGCGCGGCGGGGCCGGCCCUGCUGAAUUAUUCACCCGUGUCUUUUGCGUACUUCUUGUUUCCUGGGUGGGCUCGCCCGCCCUCAGGACCAACCACAAACCUUUUGCAAUAGCAAUCAGCGUCAGUAACAACGUAAUUAAUUACAACUUUCAACAACGGAUCUCUUGGUUCUGGCAUCGAUGAAGAACGCAGCGAAAUGCGAUACGUAGUGUGAAUUGCAGAAUUCAGUGAAUCAUCGAAUCUUUGAACGCACAUUGCGCCCUUUGGUAUUCCAAAGGGCAUGCCUGUUCGAGCGUCAUUUGUACCCUCAAGCUUUGCUUGGUGUUGGGCGUCUUUUGUCUCCAGUUCGCUGGAGACUCGCCUUAAAGUCAUUGGCAGCCGGCCUACUGGUUUCGGAGCGCAGCACAAGUCGCGCUCUUUGCCAGCCAAGGUCAGCGUCCAGCAAGCCUUUUUUUCAACCUUGACCU